rnacentral:lncRNA from 1 species
GCUUAUGUAAGUGUGAAGUGUUAGCCGCUUCAAGGAGAAUUUUGUAAGGCCAGUUCUCUAUGCACUUAUGAAAUCAGGCUGUGUUCAUGGCUGAAACGAAUACAACAAUAAGAACCAAAGACGGUUAAUGGUUGGUUGUGUGACUUGUGGUUGUCUAGGUACACACCAAAGUUUGACGGUUCAAAGAUAUCAAAUCUACCGAUUGAUCGAGUAUAUCAUACAUAAGUUCACUACGGAAAGUUCAAAGGGAAACCUACUUAUGCAGAUGCAAUUAAUCCUUGUUUGCGAAUCACACCGUUUUUCAUGCAUACUUCCCCGAUAUAGCCAUUCCCCAUUCAUGUGGAGGAUUAUUGGGUUUAUGUAUUUAAUUAAUAAAUUAAAUACUUAAAAGAGGGUGAAUGGGAAAUUGAGGAAAAUGAAAUGUUUGAGUGAAAUUUCAAG